UUAUUUUGGUGUUUGGUUGGGUGGUUUCUGGUGGGGACUGCAUAUUCAGCCAAUGUGGUGAGAUUUUCAUUAAGUUAUAUAUGUUAUUGUAUUGAAAUAUCUAUAAACAACAAAAGUAAUUGCUCUUUGUAUGGUUUACAUUCUCAGCUUCCUUUAUUACGAUGGAAGAGGUUUCCUCUGACAGCGGCUUUAUACAUGCUAAUGGCUCGAGUAUUAAUGCUUCCAGUAGGAUGCUACAUGCAUAUGAAGGUCACACUUUUCUACUUUUAUCAAUUUUUAUAUCUUCUUGCUGAAAGAUGAAAGUAAUACACAAUGAACUAAAAAGUGUUAAAAUAUCUUAAAUAAAUUAAACACUCACAGGUCAAAGAAACAAUAUUGUUUGUUGUUUUGAAGAUUAAAAUUAUUCUCUAAGCAUAUGAAAAGGGGUUUACAUAAACUGAUAAUAUACAAAACUCAUCCUACAGCUACUCCACAACAGUCUCCUGAUCAAUGCCUUGAAAUAUUUUUUGAACUCUUUGUUGAGCUUGACUUUUUAAAAUGUUUUUUUUUCUUACGAUUUUUAUAUAUAUAUAUAUAUAUAUAUNNNNNNNNNNNNNNNNNNNNNNNNNNNNNNNNNNNNNNNNNNNNNNNNNNNNNNNNNNNNNNNNNNNNNNNNNNNNNNNNNNNNNNNNNNNNNNNNNNNNNNNNNNNNNNNNNNNNNNNNNNNNNNNNNNNNNNNNNNNNNNNNNNNNNNNNNNNNNNNNNNNNNNNNNNNNNNNNNNNNNNNNNNNNNNNNNNNNNNNNNNNNNNNNNNNNNNNNNNNNNNNNNNNNAUAGUUUAUUUGAGUUGAUGACCAGUUGGGUGCUCUCCUUCUCUAUAUAUAUAUAUAUAUAUAUAUUCUUUAAGUCUAUCAAAAAGGGUUUUGCAUAAACCGGUAAUAUAGAAAAGAAAAACUUAAUAAAUCAAGAUCCUAUUUAAACAUACACUAAAGGGUAUGGUCACCACCAACUCAUUAGAAAAGUGAUGCUUUUAUAUGCCACCUCAUCUCUAUUACAUGUUCACUAUCAAACCACUAGCUUUUAAAAAUAGUUAUCACUCCACAUUAUUAUUAGUUUAUUUUUCAUAUUUUUUUGACAUUAGGUUAAAUGAAAAACAUAACUAUUAAACAUAAAUAAAUACUUUACAGAUAAAAACAAAUUAUAUUUUACUAAUAAAAAUCAUUACAUUAUUUAAAAAACAUAGAAAUUUAAAAUCUACAUUGCUUAAAAACAUAAAAAUUACAUUUAAGCAACAUCUUUUUCUUAACUAGUAUACUUAAACUUAGCCGAAAAUAAAAACCAAGAAACCAAAGUUUACUCCAGAAUUACUUAGGCCUCUUAAACCAUCCUUAGCCAACAAAAAAAUUAGCCUAAUAAAAAUAUGACUACCUAUUUAAAUUUGACUAAGUCCAAACUUUUGAUUAUGUUCCCUAUUUACUAUUGUUCUUUCUUUCUAGUUUGCAGCCACAUAAUAAAAUUCACAGGCGCCUCCUUUUUUCUUCUUCUUUGUCCGAAAAUUAAAGUGUUUGUGGUUCUGAUUUGGUUGAAAUGGUUGAAGAAAUAGUAUUGGUGGUUAUUUGUUUCCCUCAAUCUUCUCGCAUUUUUUGACUAGCCAAUCAAAAGACUCGUCUUCUUUCGUGAAGGGCACAACACCACAACACACCUACGUCCGGUUGGGGCGGUGUUCACACGUAGAAACACUAUGCCACGUCCACACGUGAAAAAGCUAUCAUACUAGGUAGCCUUUUACUAAUUUACAUGAUUCUCAAUGAAAAUGGAAACAAUUAAAUUGAAGUAAAGAAAAUAAAUGUUGGAAAUAAAUUGAUCAGACGAAGGCGGGCAAAAUUAUUGAGGGUAUUACCGGAUCACUUUGCUAAGUGAACUUGAUCUGUGCAUCGAAGUUGACAUGUUUCGUGGAUUUCGUGCCAACUUUAUCAAUCCUUUUUUUGGAAAGGGAACUUUCCUAACGAGGAUUUCGUGCCAACUUUUGUGCACUGACUAUUUAUCAUUCUUGUUCUUAGUAGAUGGAGAUUUAGCCUUUCUAANNNNNNNNNNNNNNNNNNNNNNNNNNNNNNNNNNNNNNNNNNNNNNNNNNNNNNNNNNNNNNNNNNNNNNNNNNNNNNNNNNNNNNNAUAUAUAUUGCUAUCAUGAAUCCCUAUAAAUUAUCCCUUCAUACCCAAUGAACAAGGAACUUUCUACGUACACUUGUUUUAAAUGUUUAUUUUAUUUUUUCAAAAAACAGGUAUCUUAUGCUUCCACGAAACAGUUCGACAAAGGAUAGGAAUUCGAUAAUAUUCACAAAAGUGGUGAAUGGUUUCGUUUUAAGGGAGUGUUAUGACAUUGACUUAUGGUUCUAUGUUUAUGACUGUGAUCUUGACACUAGAUUAUGGAGGGAAUGAGAAGGCGAGAAGGAUAGGGAAGAAGGAAGUUUGUAUCGUUAAGAAAAGAUAUAACAUCNNNNNNNNNNNNNNNNNNNNNNNNNNNNNNNNNNNNNNNNNNNNNNNNNNNNNNNNNNNNNNNNNNNNNNNNNNNNNNNNNNNNNNNNNNNNNNNNNNNNNNNNNUAUAUAUAUAUAUAUCAACCCAAACUUUCAAGACUUUAGAAAACUUUUAUUCUUGUAUUAUCUAACAAACUUCCUGAAUAACAUGAAGUCGGAUGAAAAUAUGGCCGUUGUGUACGCAAUAUAGAAAGGUGUUAGAUGUUUACAUAGAACACAAAUAGUCAAAGCUUGGGAAAUGAAUUGCGUUUGUGAGUUGUUUACAUGGAUAAGAUGCAUAUGAAUUUGAGAAGUCUUUAUCAAGUUUUUGGAUUGAGAGUUACCAUGUUUUAUGCUUAACAUGCAACGCUUAAUGGUCAAGACAGUAAACAAUUCCUCAUGUAAAAUAAUGGUAUUUUACAUAAGUUUGAAUGUGGAGGAAUCUGGAAGGCCGGGGACAAGAAUUCUUAAUUAUGACAAUGUGAUAAACUACAAAAAUGAUCAUGUGGGAGAAGAUGGUAACAAAUUGUACACAAAAAAGAUCUCUAUGGAACAAGCAUGUCUUUUGAAGGUCCUAGAUAGAAAGGUUAUUGAAAAGAAUUGUUUAUGUAUGUUUUACAUUGGCUUUUAUAACCAUUGUACAUAACUAAAUACAAGGAAAUGAUCUGACUGAGAACUAAUAUAGAAAAUUAUUAAACUAAUUGAUUAAAAGAAUAAUUUAAAUAUGAAAGUUAUUUUGUAGUUGUAGAUGUAUCUGUAAUACACCCCCGCAAGAUGGAAGAUCCAUCUGAGACUCCAAUAUUGGAACGUAGACGUAGAAAUACUAUGUGACUGAGUGGUUUGGUGAGAGUAUCUGAGAGCUAGUCCGGUGAAUUUUUAUGUAACACGUGCAAUAAACCAUCCUAUACCAUUUGAGGAACAAAGUGGUAGUCUAGUGCAACAUGUUUCAUCUGGUAGUGAUAGACUGGGUUGGCAUAGGAAUACAUAGCACCGAUGUUGUCACAAAAAGUGUGGGUUUAUUGGAGGAUGCCAAAUCAAGAUCAUACAAUAAACUUUGUACCUAGAUAACUUCAGUUACAACAUUUGCUAGAGCUUUGUACUCAACUUCUAUGGGUGAAUGGGAAACCGAAUUUUGACGAGCUGAAUGUCAUGAGAUGAUAUUAGAUCCAAGGUAUAAACAGGCUAUUUUAGAAUGACCGCUAUUGGUUAUUCCACCUCAUUCGGAAUCCAAGAAGGCCUUAAUAUCAAGUUAGGAGCCUUUUUGACGAAUAAGCCAUGAUGGAUUGUACCCUUUAGGCAGCGAAGGACCCGUUUUAAGGCUUGCCAGUAACUUUGUGUUGGUGAAUGCAUAAAAGAAGAGAGGCGAUUCACAGCAAAUGAUACGUUAGGCCAAGUAAAGGCUAGGUAUUGUAGGGAACCCACAAGUUUCUGGUAUGGUUUUGGAUCAACAGUUGGGGAGCCAUCCAUUAGGGUUAGAACAACUGAUAAGCACAAAGGAGUAGCAACUUCUUUGGUACCAUCCAUGUGAAAAUUUGAUAAAAGAUCCUAUGGAGAUGUUGAGAUAGAAAUGGAUCGGUGGGAGUAGGUAUGACUUUAAUGCAAAGAAAACAGUGAAGAUGGCCAAGAUCUUUUAUAGAAAAACAGUUUGCAAGUUUAGUACUGAAGUAAGGAAAUAUUUAGUCAUUUCCAAUGAGCACAAUAUCAUCUACAUAGACCAUGAAGUAACAUGUGACAUUAUCAUGAUUGUGGAUGAAAAGAGAGGGGUCUGCCAUGGAUUUGCGAAAACCAAAGGUUAUAAGAAAUUACGUAAGCUCCACGUACCAUGCUCUAAGAGCUUGUUUGGGUCCAUAUAGAGAUUUUCGGAGCUUGCAAAUGUGGUUUGGGAACCGAGGAUGGACGAAGCCGGGUGGUUGGGACAUGAAUACUUCCUUGUGAAGUGUGUCAUGAAAAAAUGCAUUUUUACAUCAAAUUGACGGAGUGGCUAAUUUUUGGAAAGAAUAAUGCAUAAGAUGAUACGCAUGGUGAUAGGUUUUGUGACAAGGCUGAGGGUUUCAAAAUAGUGUUUUCCAAAUUGUUGGAGGAAUCCUUUGGCUACUAGGCAGACUUUAUAUUUGGCUACUGUACCGUCUAGGUUUCUUUUGACACGAAAAACCAAUUUGCAACCAAUGGGUUGUUGAGAGGUUUGAGGGACAAGUUCCCAGGUGCGAUUUUUCCAGAGAGCAUUGAAUUCAUGAUCUAUGGCUUCGCACAAUUUGGGGUCUUUCAUGGCUUAAUUGUGAGUAUGUGGUUCAAAGGUGGAUGGUAUGGGAUGAAGGAUGGUGGUUUUUAUGAAAUUAUGUUUAAAGUAUUUGGAGUUUAGUUUUGGAGCUCAUCUUUUAGGAGGAGAAAACAGUAACAGAAUAGGCGUAACAACGAAAAUGAUUGGUGAGGAUGAUAAAGAGGGUUGCGUAGUAGUAGGAGAUGAAGAUGUAUGUGGUGAGGAUGGUUGGGAGAUAGGUGAGGAUGGAUGUGUAGGAAUGGAGAAGCCGGUGGUUGUCUUGAUCUGCGAGAAUAAGUUAUAAGUUAAUGAAAAAAUUAGAGUGGAGAGUUGUGGUUAGGUGGAAUGGUAUUUUGAGUGGGGUCAAUGGUAUUUGUGGGAGGUGGAAGGUAUGGUAUAGGUGGUGUUUGUGAGGGGUUUAAAGAUGAUUGGGUUGGUGUAGAUGAGGAGAUGGGUGAAGAUAAGGAAGAGAAAAAGUCAUCAGCUGUGGGUAGGGUAGAUGAUUGUGAUUCGUAAUGGAAUGGAAAAUCAUCUUCAAUAAAUUGAACAUGAUGUGAGUAAUAGAGAUGGGUUAUGUUAACAUCAAGGAACUUGUAGGUGGACUUGGAAGUGCAGUAGCCAAGAAAAAUGCAUGGUGAGGAGCAUGGUUGAAGUUUGAAGGUAGUAUAUGGUCUUGGCCAUGGGUAACAUAGACAUCCAAACGGUUUGAGUUUGGAAUAGUUGGGAGGCUGAUGAAAGAGUGUUUGAAAGGGACUUUUGUUGUUUAAAAUGGUGGUAGGUAAGCGAUCAAUAAGAUGAACUGCAUUCUGAAAGGCAUGAGUCCAAUAUUUAAGAUGGAGUUUGGCGUAAUGAAGGAGGGAUAGAAUGGUUUAAUGUAUCUACGACGUUGUUCCGCAACUCCAUUUUGUUCCAGAGUAUGAGGUGGGGUGGUGUAAUGAGAGAUAUCAUAGGUGUGGAAGAAAGGAAAUAAGCCAAGAUGCUCAUCCCCAUUUUCAGUUAAGAGGGAUAUUAUAUGGUGGUUGAAGAAUUUUUUAGCAAGUAUCUUGAACUGUGGAAAGAGCUUGGCAACAUCAAAAUUUUGAUGCAUUAGGUAAAGCCAGAUGUAUUUCGAGUAGUACUCAACAAAUAUAACAUAAUAUGUAAAUUGAUCAAUUGAUUUUUGAACAGGACCCCACAUAUCAGAGUAAAUUAAUUGCAGUGGUUUAGUGGCAACAAAUGAAUUUGGUCGAAAAGGUAAUUUGUGACUUUUAUUAACUGCGCAUAAGGGACAAUGAGUGUGGGAAUUUGACAGGAAGGUAGACUUAGGGCCUAGACUCGAAAUAAUUGACUUAAAGACUUUGAUGGACGAGUGACUAGGUUUGUGGUGCCAAUGAAGAGAUUUGUUGACUGUUGUAAAGUUGAGUUGCUUUAAGGUUAAAAUGGUGACAUGGUAGAUGUCAUCAGUGUUCUCCACCCUCAUUAGACGCGGACCCGUGCGAUGAUCCUUCACAAAAAAAUAAGAAGAAAAAAAAAUCAACAAAAACAUUGUUAGCUUUGCAAGGUUUAACUAUUGAAAUAAGAUUGCGCUUCAGAUUGGGAACACACAAUAUAUCAUGAAAGUUUAAUGAUUUUGUAGGUGUAUGGAUGUGUGUUGAACCAGUGUGAGAGAUCGGUAAUUUUCUACCGUUUCCAAGUAGAAUUUCGUCUGGACCCCCAUAUUUAUAGACAUGUUGGAAGCUAGAUGUCUCAUAAGUCACAUAGUGUGAGGCCCCUAUGUCAAAGAGACAUAAUGGUGUGGUAGUGAAGGAACUGGUAAUAGUGUUUAAAACCGGAUUCUGAGAUUGAAAGGCAGCAAUAGAGAUAUUAUUAUCUCUUAGAAACCUGGAUAGUUUACGACAUUCCUUGGCGGAAUGUCCCGAAAUGUUGCAAAACUGACAGUAAGAGGUGUUGUGAUUCAGAUUUUGAUUAUAACCACCAAGUUGAGAGUGUGACCAUUGAGGGCAAUUUGGUCCUUUUUGUUGUGAGUUGGGUGUGAACUUUUGGUUUUCGGGAGAGAAGUUGUUGGAGGGUUGGCGAUUUGGUUGACGGGCAUGGAAUCGGCAGUGAUUAUGGAGGAUGUUGUUGUUUGGAGAAUUUCCUUGAGUCCUCUUUCAAAAUCAAGAAGUUUGUCAAAGAGUUAUGGGUAGGAAAGAGGGGUCUCACAUAUUUUGAUGGCUGCAAAAAUGUUAUUGUAUUCAUCUCCGAGUUGAGAUAGAAUGUGCACCAUGAGUUCUUCUUCAGAGACGGGGCUUUGAGAAAGUGGAAAAUCAUCAACAAUGUAUCGUAUGUCUUGGAGAUAGUCAAUAAUAGAUUUGUCUCCUUUAGGGUUUUUCACGAGAUUCGAUUUCAGAGAGAUAACACGAGACCUGGAGGUGCUGGCGUAGCUUGAAUUCAGCCGUUCCUAGGGUUUUAGGACAAUAUUUGCUAAUGAGACGAGACGUUGAAUGGAUUCUGGACAACUCCCAAGAAUGAUACUGAUGGGAAUUUGGUUUUGGCGAUACCAAGAUAAGUAUUAUGGAUUUGCUUUCUUUCUCUUUUUCUUCAAUUAACAAGGUUUCAAGUUGUAAUCCAAUUAGGUUGGAUUCAACUUGCUUGUGCCAGACAAGAAAAUUUGUGGUAGUGAGUUUGACGGGGAAGUGAGUGGCGGAAAUCAAUUGAGUGGUGGUGGUUUGAUUCACCAUUGUUAGGUCUUGAAUGAAUAAUGGAUUAGGUUUGCUGUGAGAAGGGAUCGAAGAUUGCUUAGUAGAGCUUGUGGAUCUCUGAUACCAUAUAAAGGUUAUUGAAAAGAAUUGCUUAUGUAUGUUUUACAUUGAGUCUUUACAUUGGCUUUUAUAAACAUGGUACAUAAUUGAAUAAAAGGAAAUGAUCUGAUUGAGAACUAAUACAUGAAAGUAUUAAACUAAUUGAUUACAAGAAUAAUUUAAAUAUGAAAGUUAUUUUGUAGUUGUAGAUGUAUCUGUAAUACUAGAUUUCACUGAUAUGUUUCUUGGUGAUGUAUGGGAUGUUAAGGUUAUUGGAUAUUUGUAUAAAAUAUGUUUAAAUGAAGGUUUUAAUGAUAUGGUCAUGGGUUUGGUUUGAAUUUAGAACAAGAAGUGCAUGUACUAAAUUCAAGCAACAUCACAGUAUCAAACAUACGUCAAGGAGAUUAAACUCUUGACAAAUAACUUUGUUGUGAAUGAGGUAAUGAUUUGUAUGUAGUUUGAUGGACUAUCAUUAGCUUCUUCGGUCCUAGUUCUUAAAAGAAGGUGGUUAGUUUAUAAGGUUCGAUUAUAUUACAAAAGGAAGAUCAAGUGGAGAAUAUUAAAAUAGGAAGUGGAUGUAAAAAAGAUCAUUGUUUAAUAUUAUCUCUAAUCAAGUAAUGGUUAUGAUUGAAAGGGUUGAGUAUGUUGUAAAGGUUAGAGAAAUAUCAACAUGGUUUCGAAAUAUUUAUAAAGAAGAUGAUAUAAAUUAAUGAUGGAGAAUGUAAAUUUUAAAGUUAAAGAAGACAUUGGAUCAUGAAAGUUUGGAUUCCUUGGAAGAAGAUAAAUACGAGGAAACAAGUUAUGUUCAAUAAACUUUUGACCGGAACAAAAAAAAAUGGUAGUAAUGAAAAAGAAGACAGCGUCAAUAUUUUGGGUACUGAUAAAUGGAUGGAUGCAAGGGAAGUGACGAUAAAAGUUGAAUCAAGUGAAUAUAUUGGUAGACAUAAAGUCACGACUCAGAAUCCUAUAGUAGAUAGGGAUGUUAUGAAGCCUUAAAAAGGAUGUAGUAGAUGUUUAUGUUGUCAAAUCCGAAGUUAAGCAUGAUGAAAGACAUGCCAGCACCAAAUAUGGUAUCAUUCUUGUUGUUGGUACCUUGGAUUCACCAUCGAAGCCUCCAAGAAGAUAUCCAACGAGAAACAAAAAUUUGAGUCUAAUUCUAAAAAAUGUUUUGCUUCUUUCGUGGUUUCUAGACCAAUACAUGAUAUAUAACUUAUAAUACAUGAAAUUCAGAUGUCAUAAGGUUCUAGAACUUAAUCAUUGAUUAACAAUAAGCUCUAAACCCCCAAAUUAACACACUAGAAGCUGAAAAACUUGGAAAAUCUCGAUAAACAUAAAUAUAAGCAUAAUUAUCUAACAUGAUCCUAGAUUAUUGAUAUAACAAAUUAGUCUAAGCUAUAUAGAGUUUUCUGAAUGACGAACUAGGAAGAGAAUCAAUUUUAGAAAAUCUAAAAUACAAUAUUUAACCAUGGAGAUUUCUAUUUAUAUAAAACCCACAAUCCCUAACCUGAACAUGGAAAGAAGAGUUACAGAUCAGGGACUACCUUCUAGAUCUAGGAGAUGGUGUGAAAAGAGUUAGAUCUUCUGUUUUUCAACAAAUGGGCUUCAAAUCUCCAUUGGAAGAGACAAAUCUCCACUUAUAAGAUCUAAAAUUUCUUGAGUUCUUUAGAAACGAGAGAGGAAAAAAAGAGGCACAUGACUAAGUACUCAAACUUUGGAAAAGGGAAAAGAAUAAUCCUUCUAUAACAAAUGUUACCACUAAUAUCACCAUUUAACUUAGGAAAUAAC
rnacentral:lncRNA from 1 species